UGGACAUAUUAUUUCAUGCUGCAUUAAACGGAUGUUUCACUAUCUGGUCUGAGGAUAUGAUGACUCUUAGCCCAAGCUGCACCAUUUUGUAAACCCCCGCCAUUUUGCAAACCCAGGUCAGAGUGGAAAAUUCCCCUAGGGCUCAGGCUGUGAGAAACAUCCUGCCGGGUAAGUCCUAAGCCCAACCGCCUGAUCUCAGGAAAUUCCUCACUUAGCAACAGCUAACCACCCUGCCCACCCCACUUCACAACAAGCCCAGAUCUCUCCCACCUGGACCUAAACUUACCCAGUCUGUAAGCGGGGGCGGGCUCUGGCGCUAGUUGGUGUGCCCCUCCGCGAGUGUUUGUUCCGUAAACCUGUGUUGCUGUAGAGCCGCCUCCGUCCGUUUUUCCUCCCGUUCCCGCGCUAACAAUGACAUUAUACCAAAUGUAACUGCAUGCAUCUACAUCUUAAUUACAAUUAAGAAAUAUCUUCCUGGCCGCAUGCAGUGGCUCAUGCCUGUAAUCCCAGCACUUUGGGAGACCGAGGCGGGUGGGUCACGAGGUCAAGAGUUCAAGACCAGCCUGGCCAAGAUGGUGAAACCCUGUCUCUAACUAAAAAAAAAAAAGAAAGAAAUAUCUUUUAGCUGUUUACCUACUUCCUGGAAAAAGUAGUAGCUCUCUGUAGCAUUAUGGAGUUUCAGUGGAACCAAAUUUUUGCCAUUAAAAACUGGCAUUAAAUUGAAAUAUAUGUUAUAUGCCUCAGUCAUUUCAAACUUCAUUGU
rnacentral:lncRNA from 1 species